GGUCCUAUAGUAUAACUGGAUAGUACUCCCGCCUCCUAAGCGGACAAUUCCGGUUCGAUUCCGGAUGGGACCA
rfam:Lactobacillus suebicus DSM 5007 = KCTC 3549 strain DSM 5007 Scaffold2, whole genome shotgun sequence.